CCCAGACUCCUACGGGAGGCAGCAGUGGGGGAUAUUGCACAAUGGGGGAAACCCUGAUGCAGCGACGCCGCGUGAGUGAAGAAGUAUUUCGGUAUGUAAAGCUCUAUCAGCAGGGAAGAAAAAAGACGGUACCUGACUAAGAAGCCCCGGCUAACUACGUGCCAGCAGCCGCGGUAAUACGUAGGGGGCAAGCGUUAUCCGGAUUUACUGGGUGUAAAGGGAGCGUAGACGGCAAUACAAGUCGGAAGUGAAAUACCCGGGCUCAACCUGGGAACUGCUUUGGAAACUGUAUGGCUGGAGUGCUGGAGAGGUAAGCGGAAUUCCUAGUGUAGCGGUGAAAUGCGUAGAUAUUAGGAGGAACACCAGUGGCGAAGGCGGCUUACUGGACAGUAACUGACGUUGAGGCUCGAAAGCGUGGGAGCAAACAGGAUUAGAUACCCCGGUAA
rnacentral:rRNA from 1 species